AUGCAUAGGCAUGAAGAGUGGGUUCUGACCAAGGAUAAAGGAAGACUACGGAGCGGAAGCAGCACUGAGCUGGGGGAGCACUGCUGUGUCCAUUGGGAGGAAAGGGAUUGGGAACGUCAGUGAGCUGGAAGCAAGAGUAUACGUCCAGGUGGGGUGACUUUUAUCUGAACCAGAGCCUGGGGACCCCCGAGGAUGCUCCUGAGGAUGAAGACUGGUCCUAUGUGGUGACAACAGGAUAAGGAGGAAGAAGAGAAACGAAGAGAUGCUUGUUUCCCCAAAGGAUAAGCCAACAGGUCUAAUGACUCAUUGGUGGACUUAUUUACAAAGAGCAGGGAGGAAGCAUGUGAACUGUGUCUUUCUCUUUAUCAGUCCCCUGAGCUGAGAAGCAACCAAAAAAAAAAAAAAAAAUCUCCAGCUGAAAGGUAGAGGUUCCAAGCCACUGAACCUGUUAUAUAUGCUGCGGUCGCUCCCCAUGCAACAGCAUCUGCUGUGACCCUGGGAAGCGAGAGAAGUCCUUGGUCGCGGCCACUGGAACCUGAGGAGCCAUUCGGAGGCUGAGCCUCCCCCUGGGCUGGUGGACGUGGGUUGCAAAGGCCCACCUGGGACACCAAACGGGGACAGCCUCCAAGAUCAAGUUGUCCUUUGUUCAUUCUACCAAUGUUUAUUAAGGAUUGACUUUGUGUGAAGCAAGAGCAACCGUACGGAUGUAAACUCGAAUGAUCCAAGGCUCUAGACGCGGUAAGGGUUUGGGGACAUGUCCCCUCAUCUGCAAACACCUUGUGCCUAGGCCAUGUUUAUAUCCCUAAGUGUCUGAUGCACAAGACCUUCACAAAUGGACCUACAGGUGAAGGAGGGAAUACUUGAAGGGGCCACCGAGGAAGGCUGGAGGACUCGGAG
rnacentral:lncRNA from 1 species